CCGAGUUUACAACUCCCAAACCCAUGUGAACAUACCUACUGUUGCUUCGGCGGGAUUGCCCCGGGCGCCUCGUGUGCCCCGGGUCAGGCGCCCGCCUAGGAAACUUAACUCUUGUUUUAUUUUGGAAUCUUCUGAGUAGUUUUUACAAAUAAAUAA
rnacentral:misc_RNA from 1 species